CACGUAGGGGGCAAGCGUUGUCCGGAUUUAUUGGGCGUAAAGAGCUCGUAGGCGGUUCGAUAAGUCGGGUGUGAAACCUCCAGGCUCAACCGUGGAGACGCCACCCGAUACUGUCGUGACUAGAGUCCAGUAGGGGAGCGUGGAAUUCCUGGUGUAGCGGUGAAAUGCGCAGAUAUCAGGAGGAACACCAGCGGCGAAGGCGGCGCUCUGGGCUGGCACUGACGCUGAGGAGCGAAAGCGUGGGGAGCGAACAGG
rnacentral:rRNA from 1 species